GUUUGUCUUUCCCAUGUCGUCCAGAAAGUGUUGUCCAUCUGCCGUCUGCCUGGAUCCAUGUGAAUGCAACACUAGCCUUCACACAGAUAAGAAUUUCAUGUUCAAAAGUAUUAUGAAUGAAGUUGUAUGAUUUCUCUCUCUUCUGUCGUUGCCAAAACUCAAAGACAAAGAGAUGGCAGGAUUCUCAGAGUUGAUUGGGCUGCAGGGGUUGGAGGCUUUUCAACAACCUGGACGGGAUCAGGACAGUCAAGAAGUAGGAACAGCAUCUCCGUGUGGGGAAGAUUAAUUACUGCACUUUCCAAAAAAAUAGCACUUUUAUUUGCUCACUUAUAAAAAAAUAUUAUUACUUGAAAA